rnacentral:rRNA from 1 species
UACGGAGGGUGCAAGCGUUAUCCGGAUUCACUGGGUUUAAAGGGUGCGUAGGCGGGUAGGGAAGUCAGCGGUGAAAUCCCCGAGCUUAACUUGGGAACUGCCGUUGAUACUAUUUAUCUUGAAUGUUGUGGAGGUUAGCGGAAUAUGUCAUGUAGCGGUGAAAUGCUUAGAUAUGACAUAGAACACCCAUUGCGAAGGCAGCUAACUACGCAAAUAUUGACGCUGAGGCACGAAAGCGUGGGGAUCAAACAGG